rnacentral:rRNA from 1 species
GAUCCUGGCUCAGAUUGAACGCUGGCGGCAGGCCUAACACAUGCAAGUCGAACGGUAACAGGAAGAAGCUUGCUUCUUUGCUGACGAGUGGCGGACGGGUGAGUAAUGUCUGGGAAACUGCCUGAUGGAGGGGGAUAACUACUGGAAACGGUAGCUAAUACCGCAUAACGUCGCAAGACCAAAGAGGGGGACCUUCGGGCCUCUUGCCAUCGGAUGUGCCCAGAUGGGAUUAGCUAGUAGGUGGGGUAACGGCUCACCUAGGCGACGAUCCCUAGCUGGUCUGAGAGGAUGACCAGCCACACUGGAACUGAGACACGGUCCAGACUCCUACGGGAGGCAGCAGUGGGGAAUAUUGCACAAUGGGCGCAAGCCUGAUGCAGCCAUGCCGCGUGUAUGAAGAAGGCCUUCGGGUUGUAAAGACUUUUCAGCGGGGAGGAAGGGAGUAAAGUUAAUACCUUUGCUCAUUGACGUUACCCGCAGAAGAAGCACCGGCUAACUCCGUGCCAGCAGCCGCGGUAAUACGGAGGGUGCAAGCGUUAAUCGGAAUUACUGGGCGUAAAGCGGACGCAGGCGGCUUGUUAAGUCAGAUGUGAAAUCCCCGGGCUCAACCUGGGAACUGCAUCUGAUACUGGCAAGCUUGAGUCUCGUAGAGGGGGGUAGAAUUCCAGGUGUAGCGGUGAAAUGCGUAGAGAUCUGGAGGAAUACCGGUGGCGAAGGCGGCCCCCUGGACGAAGACUGACGCUCAGGUGCGAAAGCGUGGGGAGCAAACAGGAUUAGAUACCCUGUAGUCCACGCCGUAACGAUGUCGACUUGGAGGUGUGCCCUUGAGGCGUGGCUUCCGGAGCUAACGCGUUAAGUCGACCGCCUGGGGAGUACGGCCGCAAGGUUAAAACUCAAAUGAAUUGACGGGGGCCCGCACAAGCGGUGGAGCAUGUGGUUU